AACGAACGCUGGCGGCAUGCCUAACACAUGCAAGUCGAACGAGACCUUCGGGUCUAGUGGCGCACGGGUGCGUAACGCGUGGGAACCUGCCCUUAGGUUCGGAAUAACUCCCCGAAAGGGGUGCUAAUACCGGAUAAUGUCUUCGGACCAAAGAUUUAUCGCCUUUGGAUGGGCCCGCGUUGGUUUAGCUAGUUGGUAGGGUAAAAGCCUACCAAGGCGACGAUCCAUAGCUGGUCUGAGAGGAUGAUCAGCCACACUGGGACUGAGACACGGCCCAGACUCCUACGGGAGGCAGCAGUGGGGAAUAUAGGACAAUGGGCGAAAGCCUGAUCCAGCAAUGCCGCGUGAGUGAUGAAGGCCUUAGGGUUGUAAAGCUCUUUUACCCGGGAUGAUAAUGACAGUACCGGGAGAAUAAGCUCCGGCUAACUCCGUG
rnacentral:rRNA from 1 species